GAUAAACGCUGGCGGCGUGCCUAAUACAUGCAAGUCGAGCGAACGGACGAGAAGCUUGCUUCUCUGAUGUUAGCGGCGGACGGGUGAGUAACACGUGGAUAACCUACCUAUAAGACUGGGAUAACUUCGGGAAACCGGAGCUAAUACCGGAUAAUAUUUUGAACCGCAUGGUUCAAAAGUGAAAGACGGUCUUGCUGUCACUUAUAGAUGGAUCCGCGCUGCAUUAGCUAGUUGGUAAGGUAACGGCUUACCAAGGCAACGAUGCAUAGCCGACCUGAGAGGGUGAUCGGCCACACUGGAACUGAGACACGGUCCAGACUCCUACGGGAGGCAGCAGUAGGGAAUCUUCCGCAAUGGGCGAAAGCCUGACGGAGCAACGCCGCGUGAGUGAUGAAGGUCUUCGGAUCGUAAAACUCUGUUAUUAGGGAAGAACAUAUGUGUAAGUAACUGUGCACAUCUUGACGGUACCUAAUCAGAAAGCCACGGCUAACUACGUGCCAGCAGCCGCGGUAAUACGUAGGUGGCAAGCGUUAUCCGGAAUUAUUGGGCGUAAAGCGCGCGUAGGCGGUUUUUUAAGUCUGAUGUGAAAGCCCACGGCUCAACCGUGGAGGGUCAUUGGAAACUGGAAAACUUGAGUGCAGAAGAGGAAAGUGGAAUUCCAUGUGUAGCGGUGAAAUGCGCAGAGAUAUGGAGGAACACCAGUGGCGAAGGCGACUUUCUGGUCUGUAACUGACGCUGAUGUGCGAAAGCGUGGGGAUCAAACAGGAUUAGAUACCCUGGUAGUCCACGCCGUAAACGAUGAGUGCUAAGUGUUAGGGGGUUUCCGCCCCUUAGUGCUGCAGCUAACGCAUUAAGCACUCCGCCUGGGGAGUACGACCGCAAGGUUGAAACUCAAAGGAAUUGACGGGGACCCGCACAAGCGGUGGAGCAUGUGGUUUAAUUCGAAGCAACGCGAAGAACCUUACCAAAUCUUGACAUCCUUUGACAACUCUAGAGAUAGAGCCUUCCCCUUCGGGGGACAAAGUGACAGGUGGUGCAUGGUUGUCGUCAGCUCGUGUCGUGAGGUGUUGGGUUAAGUCCCGCAACGAGCGCAACCCUUAAGCUUAGUUGCCAUCAUUAAGUUGGGCACUCUAAGUUGACUGCCGGUGACAAACCGGAGGAAGGUGGGGAUGACGUCAAAUCAUCAUGCCCCUUAUGAUUUGGGCUACACACGUGCUACAAUGGACAAUACAAAGGGCAGCGAAACCGCGAGGUCAAGCAAAUCCCAUAAAGUUGUUCUCAGUUCGGAUUGUAGUCUGCAACUCGGCUACAUGAAGCUGGAAUCGCUAGUAAUCGUAGAUCAGCAUGCUACGGUGAAUACGUUCCCGGGUCU
rnacentral:rRNA from 1 species